AACGAGGAACCGAUGUAUCAAAUGUCACUAACCAACUAUAAACCGACAUGACAACCUAUUCGAUGGCACGUUGGGCAAAUAUACCGGUGAAGAAGUCAAGUUAUGCGUGCGGGAUGGGACCGAGCCAGUAUUUUGUCGAGCGCGCCCCGUGCCUUAUGCAUUGCUGGCGCGGGUCAAUGCUGAGUUAGACGCGAUGCUGCGCGCCGGCGUCAUCGAGCCCGUUGAACGGUCCGACUGGGCCACACCGCUAGUUAUAGCGAGGAAGGGAGACGGUGGAAUACGCUUAUGCGCGGAUUAUAAGGUGACACUUAACAAGGCUUUACUGGUUGACAGGUACCCGGUCCCGAAGGUAGAGGACUUAUUUAGUAAUUUGAGUGGCAAUCAUUAUUUUACUAAGCUAGAUUUGUCACAGGCUUACAAUCAAUUAAUUUUGGAUGAAACUUCUCGGAACUACACAGUAAUUAAUACACACAGAGGACUUUUUAAAUACAAUCGCCUCGUUUAUGGUCUCUCUUCCAGUCCGGGCAUUUUUCAAAGUUCAUGAUGAAUCUCUUUAAAAACGUGCAGGACGUAGUCAUAUUCUAUGAUGAUAUUUUAAUAAAGAAUAAGUCAUUAGAAUCUCAUUUAGAAAGAGUUGAACAGGUUUUUAGUAUUUUAGAGAGGAAUGGGUUGAAAAUAAAAAAAGAAAAGUGUGAGUUUAUGGUAGGCCAAGUAAAAUAUUUAGGAUUCAUAAUUGAUAAACAUGGCGUACGGGUAGAUGCAAAUAAAAUAAAACCGAUCCUAUCUAUGCCCGACCCAACUAACGUCUCAGAGUUGAAGUCUUUUCUCGGUAUGGUUAAUUUCUAUGGAAAA